rnacentral:rRNA from 1 species
CCCGUACACCAAAAUGCACAGGUUGUGAACUCGAAGAGUAGGGCGGGACACGUGGUAUCCUGUCUGAAUAUGGGGGGACCAUCCUCCAAGGCUAAAUACUCCUGACUGACCGAUAGUGAACCAGUACCGUGAGGGAAAGGCGAAAAGAACCCCGGCGAGGGGAGUGAAAAAGAACCUGAAACCGUGUACGUACAAGCAGUGGGAGCACCUUCGGGUGUGACUGCGUACCUUUUGUAUAAUGGGUCAGCGACUUAUAUUCUGUAGCAAGGUUAACCGUAUAGGGGAGCCGCAGGGAAACCGAGUCUUAACUGGGCGUUAAGUUGCAGGGUAUAGACCCGAAACCCGGUGAUCUAGCCAUGGGCAGGUUGAAGGUUGGGUAACACUAACUGGAGGACCGAACCGACUAAUGUUGAAAAAUUAGCGGAUGACUUGUGGCUGGGGGUGAAAGGCCAAUCAAACCGGGAGAUAGCUGGUUCUCCCCGAAAGCUAUUUAGGUAGCGCCUCGUGAAUUCAUCUUCGGGGGUAGAGCACUGUUUCGGCUAGGGGGUCAUCCCGACUUACCAACCCGAUGCAAACUACGAAUACCGAAGAAUGUUAUCACGGGAGACACACGGCGGGUGCUAACGUCCGUCGUGAAGAGGGAAACAACCCAGACCGCCAGCUAAGGUCCCAAAGUCAUGGUUAAGUGGGAAACGAUGUGGGAAGGCACAGACAGCCAGGAUGUUGGCUUAGAAGCAGCCAUCAUUUAAAGAAAGCGUAAUAGCUCACUGGUCGAGUCGGCCUGCGCGGAAGAUGUAACGGGGCUAAACCAUGCACCGAAGCUGCGGCAGCGACACUAUGUGUUGUUGGGUAGGGGAGCGUUCUGUAAGCCUGCGAAGGUGUGCUGUGAGGCAUGCUGGAGGUAUCAGAAGUGCGAAUGCUGACAUAAGUAACGAUAAAGCGGGUGAAAAGCCCGCUCGCCGGAAGACCAAGGGUUCCUGUCCAACGUUAAUCGGGGCAGGGUGAGUCGACCCCUAAGGCGAGGCCGAAAGGCGUAGUCGAUGGGAAACAGGUUAAUAUUCCUGUACUUGGUGUUACUGCGAAGGGGGGACGGAGAAGGCUAUGUUAGCCGGGCGACGGUUGUCCCGGUUUAAGCAUGUAGGCUGGUUGUCCAGGCAAAUCCGGAUAAUCAAGGCUGAGGUGUGAUGACGAGGCACUACGGUGCUGAAGUAACAAAUGCCCUGCUUCCAGGAAAAGCCUCUAAGCAUCAGGUAACAUUAAAUCGUACCCCAAACCGACACAGGUGGUCAGGUAGAGAAUACCAAGGCGCUUGAGAGAACUCGGGUGAAGGAACUAGGCAAAAUGGUGCCGUAACUUCGGGAGAAGGCACGCUGGUGUGUAGGUGAAGUCCCUGCGGAUGGAGCUGAAACCAGUCGAAGAUAC